AUGUAAUGUAAUGCCUACAAUGUUAAUUCAUUGGAUCCCAUUAGAACUCCGCAGGUAAGCACACUUGGGCUAGAGUAGUACUAUGAUGGGUGACCUUCGGGAAGUCCUAGUGUUUUACAUG
rnacentral:rRNA from 1 species